GUGAUUCCUCAUUAUGGGGAAAGAGUAGGGGGCUUAGAAGGAGGGUUUUGAAGCAACUUUUUCUUGGCAAAGAAUACACCAAAGAUGGAUCUAGAAUUUGAAGUCAAUUUGUACUAUUUUAUUGGAUUGAUCUAUAUCUUUGCAUAAAAAGUGUUAAUUGGGAGAUUUGAAUGAAGUUGAGAACAAAAAGGAUCAAAAGAUCAAGAAAACAUGGGUUUGGAAGAAUUGGAAGGGCUUAUUCUUUCAUGGCAACAAUGGUGAAGAGGGCCUAAGCUGCAAGAAAUAUGUAUCAAAAUUGUCCUUGGCCUAACACCUAAAAGAACACCCAAGGACGAUAGCAACAACCAAAUACUAACUGCUACUGCUGCUAAAGAAAGUACUGCUAUUUCUCUAAACUAUGUAUGUGAGCUGCUCCAAAUCUGUGACAACUUGGUUGAUUGCAUGAAUGACCAUCUUCUUUAUCUGUUACACCAGAGGACGAAUCAAGUCAGUAAGAAAUGGAGGCUAGGCUUAACGUAGCCAGAUUAAAAUAAAGCAUUUUUGAUAUGGCACCUCUAGUUUGUCUUCUCUGGCCUUGUGGCCUUUCGGCAAUGUCCUGAACUCAGCUGUGAGGCGGAAACAUUCUCGAAUGUUUUCAGGAGAAACAAAAUCAGCAGCAACUUUGGUACACGACUGGAAAGUUGAAAACAGUUGGUUGGUUACUUGAUGAACUUGAUCAUCUGGAUUUUCAUGGAUUAUAUAAGUAUGAUUCUUACCUUGAGAUUCCGCACUUGGUGAGGGCAUCCUGCAGGAAUGAAAACUGCCUCUCCAAGUCUUUGCUCGAAUGUCCAAGGUUCAAUCCCUAAAAUGCAGGUAAUGCAUCAUGGACAGAAUACAGAACUGGGAAAAGCAAUAAACUGCUAUCAAGGUGAGAAUAAACAUAAAACUAGAUUGUGGCAUGUGGAUUAAUUUACCUGGAAUGUGACAAUUGUCAAACAUAUUGUAUAGGACUGGCCAUGAGGUUUAUGAGUCUCACUAGACAACACAAGGCAGAAGAGACUGGAUGAAUGUGGUUCUAUAUGUUUGGAAUAAAAUGUUAGUUUUUCGCCCAUUUUGGAAUUUUCAUACAAUUGAGAUACUUUCUUACCAAGGUCCUUGUUGAUUUGGUUAUAGUUUUUGGAUGUGAGCUUAAGGUAAUAUCCUCCAAAUUGUGAUUUCAAGUAUUAACCAGGGCUAUUCACAAGCAACACAUAUAUUAAGGAGGUGGCAUUGACGUGAGAAUAAAGUGAAGAAAUCAAAUGAAUGAACUACAAUAGUCCCGUAGAAAUCAUACCGCA